CGGGGGAUUUGUUGGGCGGCCAGCGGCGGACGGGUGAAUAAUGCCUGGGAAAUUGCCCUGAUGUGGGGGAUAACCAUUGGAAACCAUGGCUAAUACCGCAUGAUAGCUUCGGCUCAAAGAGGGGGACCUUCGGGCCUCUCGCGUCAGGAUAUGCCCAGGUGGGAUUAUCUAGUUGGUGAGGUAAGGGCUCACCAAGGCCACGAUCCCUACCUGGUCUGAGAGGAUGAUCAGCCACACUGGAACUGAGACACGGUCCAAACUCCUACCGGAGGCACCAUUGGGGAAUAUUGCCCCAUGGGCGCAAGCCUGAUGCACCCCUGUCGCGUGUAUGAACAAGGCCUUCGGGUUGUAAAGUACUUUCAGCAGUGAGGAAGGAGGUAUCGUUAAUAUCGGUAUCUUUUGACGUUAGCUGCAGAAGAAGCACCGGCUAACUCCGUGCCAGCACGCACGGUAAUUGA
rnacentral:rRNA from 1 species